rnacentral:rRNA from 1 species
AGAGACAGCAGUAGCCGCGGUAAUACGGAGGGAGCUAGCGUUAUUCGGAAUUACUGGGCGUAAAGCGCACGUAGGCGGCUUUGUAAGUUAGAGGUGAAAGCCUGGUGCUCAACACCAGAACUGCCUUUGAUACUGCAUCGCUUGAAUCCAGGAGAGGUGAGUGGAAUUCCGAGUGUAGAGGUGAAAUUCGUAGAUAUUCGGAAGAACACCAGUGGCGAAGGCGGCUCACUGGACUGGUAUUGACGCUGAGGUGCGAAAGCGUGGGGAGCAAACAGGAUUAGAUACCCCAGUAGUCCCUGUCUCUUAUAC